rnacentral:rRNA from 1 species
UACGUAGGGAGCGAGCGUUGUUCGGAAUUACUGGGCGUAAAGAGUGUGUAGGCGGUGCUCUAAGUCUGUCGUGAAAUCUCCCGGCUUAACCGGGAGGCUGCGGCGGAAACUGGUGUGCUAGAGGGUGGGAGAGGUAAGCGGAAUUCCUGGUGUAGCGGUGAAAUGCGUAGAUAUCAGGAGGAAUACCGGUGGCGAAGGCGGCAUCCUGGACCGAGAUUGACGCUGAUGAGCGAAAGCUAGGGGAGCAGACGGG